GGGCGCUUGGUCUAGGGGUAUGAUUUUCGCUUCGCAUCUACUUGAUGAGCCUGUGAAAGGUCGUGGGUUCAAUUCCCACAGCGUCCA